rnacentral:rRNA from 1 species
AUAUUGGACCAUGGAGGGAACUCUUAUGCAGCAACGCCGCGUGAGUGAAGAAGGAUUUCGGAUCGUACCCCCCUGUCAUUGGGGAAGCAUAAAUGACGGUACCCAAUGAUGAAGCCCCGGCGCACUAAGUGCCAGCAGCCGCGGUAAUACGUAGGGGGCGAGCGUUGUCCGGAAUUACUGGGCGUAAAGGGUACGUAGGCGGCUAUAUAAGUCAGGUGUGAAAUACCAGUGCUUAACACUGGAAUUGCAUUUGAAACUGUGUAGCUUGAGUGCAGGAGAGGAAAGUGGAAUUCCUAGUGUAGCGGUGAAAUGCGUAGAGAUUAGGAGGAACACCAGUGGCGAAGGCGACUUUCUGGACUGUAACUGACGCUGAGGUACGAAAGCGUGGGUAGCGAAC